rnacentral:lncRNA from 1 species
GUUUCAAAGUAUUGACAUAUAAAUAUUGAAGUAUUAUUGCUUCACUGAUUGAAUUUCCUAAGAUUAUUCUGAAAAAUUCAAGCCCUAUCCAUAGCUGCAAGAUAAAGUCAAAAUGGCAAUGAAGGUUUAGUACUAGAAAUGAAAGACCAAGUGGAUUUUUUUAUGGUUUUCAUAACAUUAUAUUCAGAUGAGGCUGUAUUUCCUUUUAUUCUGUAUUCAUUUAAAAUUCAUUAUUUCUUUUUGGCAUUCUGCUUCAAUUUGAAUUUGUCUUUAUACGUCUACCUAAGCACUGUUCCAAGUGGAACUUUAUAAAAUGUACAGUCUUAUUCAAAAGUACUUGCUGUUGUAAGUGGAGAUACCUGCUAUGAUAGAGGCUUGUGCAAGGUGUAAAUGGAAGAAUAAAAGGUAGAGUGAGGUACUGGAGCCAUUCAACUAUGUUAUAAGUUACUAAGGCAAUAUAAUUUGAGAAAAGCGGGGACAAAAAAAAAAAAAACAGGUGAUAUUCUCCCACUGAGGAGCAAAUAAAAAGGCAAAGGGCACAGGAAGUCACUGCAAGAAGCAAGCAGUUUGGUGUUGUUGAGUGCUGUUUGUUUGUGAGAAUUUAGGUGGUAAAGAAGAGAAGACGUAGAAAAAAUAUCAAGAGAACUAUAGCAAAUGGCUUCAAGGGAUUGACAAUGAAAGUUUUCUUAAUAAAGCUAAUCAUAGCAGAAAUUUAGGAAACUGAUUUGCGGAUAAAGAAGAAAAACAUUUAGGGAAAUAGAGAGGAAGAGCAGACAGAAAAAUGCCAUAACAAUCUGGGUGAAGAGAAACUGAGAUUCAGUAUUCUCAAACUCACUCUUUCCCCCAAUACUGAAAUGUUGAUUAAUUACCAACAGCGAUUAAUUUGGUUUUGUUCACAUGAAACUCAUAUUUGGUAAUUCAAGGACAUCCUACGUUAGAGUCCUCAGAAAAGAAAGCGAACAAGACAUGACCUCUGACUUCGGGCAGCUCCUGGCAGCGCGGUGUACCAGGAAGAGUAGCAGUGGUUGCUUUGCAGAACCUGGGAUUACAGCAAAGAGGACCAAUUUCAAUCCAGGAAAGAAACUGAAUUAAGCAAGCUUUGUAUUGUUCCUCUUCAGAAUUGCUAUAAAAGUCCCAAGGCCCAGGAAGAGCUCACUGCUUACCGUCUAUGAGAUAUAGAUUUCUUCUCACCCAGCCUUUCCACCGGACUAUGAAACGCAGCUAGAAUCAUAUUUGAUAGUAUCUAGUCUGACAGAGUCUGCCACAGUGCCUGCAGUCAUUUCAGAUGUAAGAUGUAACGGAUGUAAAAUUUAAGGCAUGGAAACAAACAAGGGCCAGAG